UACAGAGGUCCCGAGCGUUGUUCGGAUUCAUUGGGCGUAAAGGGCGCGUAGGCGGGAUGGCAAGUCGGUCGUGAAAUCCUUCGGCUCAACCGAAGAACGUCGGCCGAUACUGCCGUUCUUGAGGGAUGCAGAGGAGAUUGGAAUUCCCGGUGUAGCGGUGAAAUGUGUAGAGAUCGGGAGGAACACCGGUGGCGAAGGCGGCUCUCUGGGCAGAUACUGACACUGAGACGCGAAAGCGUGGGUAGCAAACAGG
rnacentral:rRNA from 1 species